rnacentral:rRNA from 1 species
AGUAGGUGGGGUAACGGCUCACCUAGGCGACGAUCCCUAGCUGGUCUGAGAGGAUGACCAGCCACACUGGAACUGAGACACGGUCCAGACUCCUACGGGAGGCAGCAGUGGGGAAUAUUGCACAAUGGGCGCAAGCCUGAUGCAGCCAUGCCGCGUGUAUGAAGAAGGCCUUCGGGUUGUAAAGUACUUUCAGCGGGGAGGAAGGGAGUAAAGUUAAUACCUUUGCUCAUUGACGUUACCCGCAGAAGAAGCACCGGCUAACUCCGUGCCAGCAGCCGCGGCAAUACGGAGGGUGCAAGCGUUAAUCGGAAUUACUGGGCGUAAAGCGCACGCAGGCGGUUUGUUAAGUCAGAUGUGAAAUCCCCGGGCUCAACCUGGGAACUGCAUCUGAUACUGGCAAGCUUGAGUCUCGUAGAGGGGGGUAGAAUUCCAGGUGUAGCGGUGAAAUGCGUAGAGAUCUGGAGGAAUACCGGUGGCGAAGGCGGCCCCCUGGACGAAGACUGACGCUCAGGUGCGAAAGCGUGGGGAGCAAACAGGAUUAGAUACCCUGGUAGUCCACGCCGUAAACGAUGUCGACUUGGAGGUUGUGCCCUUGAGGCGUGGCUACCGGAGCUAACGCGUUAAGUCGACCGCCUGGGGAGUACGGCCGCAAGGUUAAAACUCAAAUGAAUUGACGGGGGCCCGCACAAGCGGUGGAGCAUGUGGUUUAAUUCGAUGCAACGCGAAGAACCUUACCUGGUCUUGACAUCCACAGAACUUUCCAGAGAUGGAUUGGUGCCUUCGGGAACUGUGAGACAGGUGCUGCAUGGCUGUCGUCAGCUCGUGUUGUGAAAUGUUGGGUUAAGUCCCGCAACGAGCGCAACCCUUAUCUUUUGUUGCCAGCGGUCCGGCCGGGAACUCAAAGGAGACUGCCAGUGAUAAACUGGAGGAAGGUGGGGAUGACGUCAA